rnacentral:rRNA from 1 species
UAGGGAAUCUUCGGCAAUGGGGGCAACCCUGACCGAGCAACGCCGCGUGAGUGAAGAAGGUUUUCGGAUCGUAAAGCUCUGUUGUAAGAGAAGAACGUGUGUGAGAGUGGAAAGUUCACACAGUGACGGUAACUUACCAGAAAGGGACGGCUAACUACGUCACG